rnacentral:rRNA from 1 species
CACGUAGGCGGAUAUUUAAGUCAGGGGUGAAAUCCCAGAGCUCAACUCUGGAACUGCCUUUGAUACUGGGUAUCUUGAGUAUGGAAGAGGUAAGUGGAAUUCCGAGUGUAGAGGUGAAAUUCGUAGAUAUUCGGAGGAACACCAGUGGCGAAGGCGGCUUACUGGUCCAUUACUGUCGCUGAGGUGCGAAAGCGUGGGGAGCAAACA